AAAUCUUCCGUGUGAACCUAAAACGUUUGUGAAAAGGAAAAGGUUCGCUGUAGCACUACAAGGCACUGAAAACAACAAGAAACAGAGGGAUGUUGCGCCGUCCCCAACCCUCCGACGGUGAGGCGGACCUCCUCAGAGAGCAGGAGCGCUUUCUGGCCUCCGGGGCUCCGUCUGCUGCCAGCGUCCUCCGCCGGCCAGACAAGAGGAGAGGCCGGAGUGGAGAGGUGGAGGGAGAAGGCGAAGGGAGCCAGGAGAAUGGAGGAAUCCAGAAGGAUGUGGUCACUAUUGAAGAUCUUCCGGAUCAGCUACCGUCUCUGACACCAGCUCCGCCAAAAAAGUCUCGCUUCAAAGCCAGCCGUGUCACCUUUGAGGUGGACGAUGCUGAGGAGAGGCUGGACGCUCAGGACACUCACAUCAGCGCCGUGCUCUCCAGGAUUGUUGAGAGAGACACCAGCUCCACUCCAAUAUCUUUACCAACAUUUACAGGAAUUGCUUUCCCCAAAGUGAUGCACCGCUCUGAAACCAGCAGUCAGGCCCCGCCUUCCUCCGUCAGAGAAAAAAAGAGCAUCUUUGCCCGUCAGAUUGCUGCUCAGAAGCUUAACGAAGCAAAGACACUUCAACUCAAUUCAUCUGGAUCUUCACAGAACCUUCCUGUUGAGACCGACAUGGAUUUCAGCGAUUCUUCUUCUCAGUCCAGGUUGGUGUCGGGUCAGGGCCUCAGAGUCUCAGACGGUCCUACGGAGACUCUGAGGAUCCACAUGGAGAAUCAGGCCAAACUCAGAGCGAUGUCUCAGCCGGAAAUUCUUGAAGAGCAGAAGAAGCUUCUGUCUCAGCUCGAUCCCAGACUUGUGGAGUUUGUCAGAUCCCGGAAAGCUCAGAGCGUUCCGCUUGAAGAAAUAAAGAAGAAAGAAGACACUCCGGAAAAGGCUGGUGGACCUUCAUCCAGUGCGUUCUGUUGUGAAGGGAGCAUGGAGGAAGAGGAGCCACCAUCAGCUGUCAUUACUGAGGCUGAGCUGCCAGUGAAGCCUCAGAAAGAAUGGGUCCACAUGGACAAACUGGAGCCGGAGAAGCUGGAGUGGAUGAAAGACUUGCCUCCUCCCAGGAAGAAAGGAACCGAGAAGGCCAUGCAGGCCCGUUUUGACUUUGCCGGGACCUUGAUUCCACCCACUGAAGAUCUCCCCACCCACUUAGGCCUGCACCACCACGGAGAGGAGCCGGAGCGAGCAGGAUAUUCCCUACAGGAACUCUUCCUGUUGUCCCGGAGUCAGCUCAUCCAGCAGAGAAGUCUGGCUCUCGGCACUGUGGCUAACAUCCUUUCAAAGGCUCGUGCUGGAGAGUUCGCGUCGGCCCUUAAAGGCGCCGUGACCUCCACUCUGCUGGACGCUGGCCUGCUCUUCCUGCUCCGCUUCGCCCUGGACGACGGCGUGGAGGCGGUGAUGUCUUCAGCCGUGCACGCGCUCAGAGCCCUACUCGUGUGUUCAGAAGAUGAGGAGUGCAUGGAUUCGACUUUCUCCUGGUAUCAAGGUUUGGCCUCCUUCCCUCUGCUGCCCUCCUCUCAAGAGGAUGAAGAGGAGGAUGAUGAAGGGGUGGAUGGAUCUAUGAAGGAGACGGCCAAAGAAAAAGAGGAAAAUAAGAGUGAUUUUGAUGUUACCCAGCAGGACGUUGUCAAGGGCUUAUUAAAGAUGAAGCUGCUCCCCAGGCUGCGCUACAUUCUUGAGGUGAUGCGGCCGUCCCCUCGGGUGGUCCAGGACGUCCUGCAGAUCCUGACUCGUGUGGCCCGACACUCGCUGUCGUCCGCCACACAGGUGUUGAACUGUCCUCGACUGAUGGAGACGGUGAUGUCCGAGUUUCUCCCCACUUCCUGGUCGGCAUCUUCCUCACCCAACCCUCAGUCCAUAUAUGGAGUUCCUGUGGCCAGCGCCAUGAAGCUCUUGAGGGUUUUGGCUACUUCUGGCAGACAUAUCUGUGCCAGACUGUUGAACUCUCUAGGUGUGAAGGAGCGUUUGUCCCGUUUGCUGAGCGCUGAGCCCGCCGAGCUGCUGCUGGAACCGUCUGAAGCUGUCAGGAUCACCACUGAGGCCUACAGGUUCUGGACGGUAGCAGCCGGUUAUGGACAGGCAUGUCAGCUAUACAUAGACUUGUAUCCAGCUUUACUGAAGUCUCUCCAGUCUGGACACCGACUAGCUCCCCCCUCUGACGCUCUCCGGCCUCUGCAGCUGCAGCGGCUCUCGGCUUUGCUCUCUCUGCUCACACAGGUCACACACACGGCCGGGUGCCACCAGGAGCUGCAGGCUGGAGUCCUCAGCUCUCAGGGGGAAGAGUGCCCUCCGCCCCCUCCAGUUUCUUGGGGUCAUGUCUCGGGCUUGCAGGAAUCCCUGUUGGGGCACCUGAAGGGUUUGGUCAAGAACCUGGAUAGUCCAGUUCAGAAAGACGGCAGCUUGACCCUGAUACCAGCUUAUCUGGUGUAUCUCCAAGCGUACUACCACCAACUCUCCAGACAGAACUUUUUCAAACCAGUGGAGACUCUUCAGGAGUUGGAGCUUCUGACCUCCGAUGUUCUUCUUCCACUUAUGUGUCAUAGUGUUGUGCAAGGCCUGAUGAACAACCUGAGAUCUUCUUCUUUGGUUUGCAAUGUGAAGUCCACCCAUCCGGGUCCAGAGACGACGCCAAAUCUUCCCGGUUUAGCCUGCGCAGGAUGGAAGGAGCGUUCUGGACUUGUUGUUUCCAGCUCUCCUUUUGCUCUCCUGAUCGGAUUAGGAACCCUCUUGGAAACAAUCACAGGGAUCCACAAAGGUCUCAGCAGCAAGUUCUCCGGCUUCCUCCUGUCAGAGCCUGUGAUUGGUUACCUGCAUGCCUGCAGUAAGGCCACGCCCACUCUGUCCGUCUCCAGGGCGUGGCUCCUUCGUCAUGAGCACCUGCUCCUGUACCUGCUGCUGCGGCUGGCACACAGGCUGGUUGCUGUUGAUGUGGAGGUGGCGAAACAGGCCUCACUUUACCACCAGGUGGCGCUGGUGCUUCUUCCCUGGUUAUUACCAGGCAGUGAAUACUUGGCACAUGAGCUGCUGUCUGAUGUUAUAUUCAACAAGGACUUUAUAUCAGAGGGACACAGUGGAGGUCCGGAGGCCGUGGAGCUCGGGGAGCUAAAGCUUCACGACGACGUCGGUCUCCACCCUUCUCCGUCUCUACAGACGGUCGGAGCUCUCCUCAGAGAAGCCUGCGUUCAGCUGCCGUCCAUAAGGGGAUGCUUCCUCACUCAUCUCGCGUAUCUGGAGCCGUCUGUGUUCGCCUCCAGAAAGGCCCUGCUCGGACACAACCCGUGGAUCAGCUCCCACCUCCUCCCGGAGCUCACGGGGCCCACCCUGCCGUCCGACUGGUCUUUCCUCCCUCUCAUCAAACUGUACGAGCGGACAGGAGUGUCCGGGGGCGGGGGGCUGGCUGUGGAGGAGCUUCCAGCGGGGGCUCUGCAGGCGGCUGUCCACUGUCUGCAGUGGCUGCUGCUGCUGGAGGUUUGGAGGGAGGAGUCUUUAAAGGUGGUUCUUCCUGUCGCUAAGCUGGCCCGUCUGUCCCGCGUCUUCCUCUGUUCAAGCGACUUGUUCCUGGAAAGACCUGUCCAGAAGCUGACCUGGGCUUUGUUCAGGUUACUAACCAGGACUUCAAGGCUGGACUCUUUGGACCUGAACGUGCCCCCGCCAGGUCUCGCGUCCUUCCAGGACUUGUUCAGGGCUCUGUUGGCACAGUAUGAAGCCGUGUCUUUUGGAGAUCAGCUGUUUGGCUGCUGGGUCCUGCUGCCCCUGCAGAGGCGUUACAGCGCCUCCAUGAGGCUGGCUGUUUUUGGAGAACAUGUGGGGAUGUUGAGAUCUCUGGGAGUCACCCUAGAACAGCUUUCCAUCCCUAUGGAGCGGUUCACAUCUCCGCCUGAAGACUCCCUUCCUCUCCUUCGUCUCUACUUCCGCUCUUUAGUGACCGGAUCCCUGAAGCUCUCCUGGUGUCCCGUCCUCUACGUGGUCGCCCUGUCUCAUGUGAACUCCUUCAUCUUCUCUCAGGACGCUGCUGCACAGGAAGUGGAAGCUGCUCGACACAGUAUGCUGAGGAAGAUCUACUACCUCACUGAUGAGGUGUUGAGGAACCACUUGCUUCUCUUCCGUCAGCCCCAGCCACACACGCAGCUCGGCUUCGACACGUACGCAGAGCUUCCACCCAUCAGGGCGAAGCGUUUGGAGAGCGUCUGCCAGGCGGGAAAGGAGACGGAAUGAUGUAAAGAAAGGGUGAAGAGUGAGAAAGCGUCGAGGUAAAAGAAAACAUUUUGGUUCAGGAAGGGUUAAUCUUUGAACCACAGCCAACAGUUUGACGUCAGCGCUGGGUCACAUCUACAAUGCUGGGUCUGGAGCUUCCCUGCUGAGCUGUAACAAAUAGCCUCUAAAAGCACAGCUUUUGCAGACGGGUUAAUUAAAACGCGUGAAGUUCUGUCAUCCCUUUGUCAGCUCUGUUUGUUCAUUAAGACUUCAUCAACAGAAGGACAGAUGUGCUCCGAUGGGUCAAAGCUGCAGAAAGUUCAUCACAAAAUAAUUCAUUAAAGAAGUGCGAGGGUUGAAAUUUGACAAAAAUAAAGGUAAUUAAAGCUAAGAUAUUGAUUGUUCUUAACCUGAAAUGUUAUCAUUUUUAGGUUUUACUCACAUACAUCUUAUUGUAAAAGAUUUGUUACAAGUCUGUUUUAUGUUAUUUUGGAGGAAAGCAGUAAAAACGUUUUGAUUCGUCUACUCAACGUUGUGACAUAAAACCAAGAUUCUCACUUGUACUAGCCGUCUUUUAAUUGGCUUUCUGUUCAGAGAUAAACUUUUAUAAAAAAAAUACUUUAGAAUUCAAUUUUUGUAAAUCUUGAAAUCCUGCAGGUGGAAGUUGACCAUUUUGUUGCCAACUACUGCAUUUGUGCUCUCUGUAGUAAUUGAUGAGAGGGGAAAAAAGUAUUUUAGCUACUAUGUUAAGUUUAGAAGAAAUACAGUUAAACUGCAGUUUGGUGUUGAUAAAACUUCUCUUUCAGCACAUCAUCAAGAGGUAAUUUAUUAUAUCUAAUUUAGUUUUAGAAAAGAAUAAUAAUCCCAAUUUAAUGUUCUUGACUCAACUUGACUCUCCAUGAAGAGUCAAGUCUGAAGCCUGAGUAGCACAGCCGUUUUCUUCUGUGCUAACGUUAGCUGCAUCAGUCCAAGAUCAUGAGUUGUUUGAGUUGUAAUCCAGUCAGAAAUACAUUAUUUAUUGUUGCUUGUUGUUCCGCGUUGUCCACUCUUCUCUCCAGGAGGUCGAGCCGAUUAUCUCGUUGUUCAUUUUGUGUUCUGUCGGAUCUCUUCUUCAAGCUCCAUCAGAGGUGUUAGCCUAGCUUCGAGGUGCAUUAGCUUAGCAUGGAUGUCCCCAAGUCCAGUCCUGAUGUCAGAGAUGUUAGAUGUGUCCAGGUUUUUCUUUGGGGUCAUCCUCAACUCUCUGUAUUGCAGAAUUGAUGUAUUUUUUGCAGUAAUUCUGUGAUAAUUCAAGAUUAAAGUUGCUUUAAAGCGA